rnacentral:rRNA from 1 species
GAUGAACGCUGGCGGCGUGCCUAAUACAUGCAAGUCGAGCGAACGGACGAGAAGCCUGCUUUUCUGAUGUUAGCGGCGGACGGGUGAGUAACACGUGGAUAACCUACCUAUAAGACUGGGAUAACUUCGGGAAACCGGAGCUAAUACCGGAUAAUAUUUUGAACCGCAUGGUUCAAAAGUGAAAGACGGUCUUGCUGUCACUUAUAGAUGGAUCCGCGCUGCAUUAGCUAGUUGGUAAGGUAACGGCUUACCAAGGCAACGAUGCAUAGCCGACCUGAGAGGGUGAUCGGCCACACUGGAACUGAGACACGGUCCAGACUCCUACGGGAGGCAGCAGUAGGGAAUCUGCCGCAAUGGGCGGAAGCCUGACGGAGCAACGCCGCGUGAGUGGUGAAGGUCUUCGGAUCGUAAAACUCUGUUAUUAGGGAAGAACAUAUGUGUAAGUAACUGUGCACAUCUUGACGGUACCUAAUCAGAAAGCCACGGCUAACUACGUG